CAUACAUACAUAUGCAUAUACGAAUGUCGGACACACACACAGUGUGCUUUUGCCAGUGCUGCCCAGUUGAGUUUUCCCCAAAGAUAACUGUCAUCGGGCAGCAGCAGCAGCCGCCGCAACAACAAUCAAGAGUGCGCCGUUUGAGUGAUCAACUAGAAGAUACCCUAUUAUUGAGAAGUAAAGAUGAGCAUGUGUGUAACAAGAUGGCCUCUCUAGGAUAAUACUUGAUCAGUCUUCAAAAUGCAAGGACUCCUGCCUUAUAUGGGCUUAAACUCAGUUGGAAGACUCUGAAGCUUAAACAUUUUUGUUACAUUCAGAUUGAGGAAUGUGAAGAAUGUGGAGAAUGUGGUUUAAAUAAGCAGAAAACACCAAUUACAGUGGACAACAUUGACACAAGAACUUAAAUUGAACUGAAUGCAAGACAAAUCGACGGAAAUGGAGGUGAAUAAAUUGAUGAGUCUGUGGCUGUUGUGGCUGAGCAUAGUAAUAAGCAUGGUGGAUGGCAAAUUCAAGAGCCUGUCUUGCAGCAGCUUUGACCAGAGUGCGAUAUUAGGGCUUUGAGUCUUUGGUCUUUGGCUCGUUCAACAACUCUGCGAAUGUGCAAAUUGCCUCCUUCAAGCACGCCAAUGGCUGGCGUCCAAUCCUCUACAACUUUACGAUAAGCGUGUGCAAGUUUCUGCG